rnacentral:rRNA from 1 species
UACGUAGGGUGCAAGCGUUAAUCGGAAUUACUGGGCGUAAAGCGUGCGCAGGCGGUUUUGUAAGUUUGUCGUGAAAUCCCCGGGCUCAACCUGGGAAUGGCGAUGAAGACUGCAAGGCUAGAAUCUGGCAGAGGGGGGUAGAAUUCCACGUGUAGCAGUGAAAUGCGUAGAGAUGUGGAGGAACACCGAUGGCGAAGGCAGCCCCUGGGUCAAGAU